rnacentral:rRNA from 1 species
UAAAAGUCGUAACAAGGUCUCCGUUGGUGAACCAGCGGAGGGAUCAUUACCGAGUUUACAACUCCCAAACCCAAUGUGAACCAUACCAAACUGUUGCCUCGGCGGGGUCACGCCCCGGGUGCGUCGCAGCCCCGGAACCAGGCGCCCGCCGGAGGGACCAACCAAACUCUUUUCUGUAGUCCCCUCGCGGACGUUAUUUCUUACAGCUCUGAGCAAAAAUUCAAAAUGAAUCAAAACUUUCAACAACGGAUCUCUUGGUUCUGGCAUCGAUGAAGAACGCAGCGAAAUGCGAUAAGUAAUGUGAAUUGCAGAAUUCAGUGAAUCAUCGAAUCUUAGAACGCACAUUGCGCCCGCCAGUAUUGGAGCGGGCGGCAUAUCAAUAAGCGGGGGAAGUCCUGGUCAUUUAGAGGAAGUAACGGCAUAUCAAUAAGCGGAGGAAGUCUUGGUCAUUUAGAGGAAGUAACGGCAUAUCAAUAAGCGGAGGAAGUCUUGGUCAUUUAGAGGAAGUAACGGCAUAUCAAUAAG